GUAACUAGUAAAGUCAAGUAUAUUUAGUACUGUACUUAAGUACAAGUUUGAGGUACUUGGCUUCAUUAGAGUAUUUCUAUUUAAUACUACUUCAUACUUAUACUCCACCACAUUUCGGAGGUAAAUAUUGUACUCUUUACUCCACUAUAUUUAUGUGACAGCUACACAUAU